rnacentral:rRNA from 1 species
GAUGAACGCUGGCGGCGUGCUUAACACAUGCAAGUCGAACGGAAAGGCUCCUGCUUGCAGGGGUACUCGAGUGGCGAACGGGUGAGUAACACGUGGGUGAUCUGCCCUGCACUUCGGGUUAAGCCUGGGAAACUGGGUCUAAUACCGGAUAGGACGAUGGUUUGGAUGCCAUUGUGGAAAGUUUUUUCGGUGUGGGAUGAGCUCGCGGCCUAUCAGCUUGUUGGUGGGGUAAUGGCCUACCAAGGCGUCGACGGGUAGCCGGCCUGAGAGGGUGUACGGCCACAUUGGGACUGAGAUACGGCCCAGACUCCUACGGGAGGCAGCAGUGGGGAAUAUUGCACAAUGGGCGCAAGCCUGAUGCAGCGACGCCGCGUGGGGGAUGACGGCCUUCGGGUUGUAAACUCCUUUCGCUAGGGACGAAGCGCAAGUGACGGUACCUGGAGAAGAAGCACCGGCUAACUACGUG